rnacentral:lncRNA from 1 species
CAUGUUUAAACUUAUAUGGGUACAUUCUUUUUCGUUGAUUUGAGAAUGUAUCCAUGUUUUGGUACAAUAAUUUUUUUUGUUAAUUUUGGUUAAUGUACCCAUACAUAUAUGUAUAUACACACACAAUAUAAUAGAGAGUAUAAUUUAUAUUUUAUUAUUUUUAAUCCCAUAAAUUAUGGGUUUUAUUUAAAAUCUCAUUAAUAUAAAUAAUUACAAAUUUCAAUUUUUAAUUUUUAAUUAAAAAAAUAUAGUAACUUACAUUAUUACAUUAAUGUCAGGGACUUCAAUCAAAAACUAAAAACUAACAAGGUUUCAAUCAAAGAAUAUUGAUAGCUAGGGACCACAUCCAAAGUGUCCCUUUAGAAAACUAAUGAAAAUAGCCUAACAAAACUAAUUUUACUUUUAAAUAAUUGAAAAUGUUCUAGGGCUUUGAACUCGAGUGUAUCGGGUGCAUCCGCUAUAGUAAAUAUAAAGUUAAAUUACAUUUUCGUUCCUCAAAAUUAAUUGUAACCUCAUAAAAAAAUUUUAAAACAUUUCAAUUUCAUACAUUUACUUACUAUUUCAUUUUAAUCUCAUACAUGACGUGGCUGCCAACUUGUGUCCCAUGACUAAACAAUUAAUAAAAUAUUUCAUUAUUUUUAACAUAUGUGGGGGCAUUUGUGGAACAAAAAAUAAUCUCAAAAAUCCUAGAGGCGAUAUGUGAACUUUUACUCAAGUAAGACAAAAUUGCUCUCAUUAAAUGGGCAGGGCUCUCAAUCAAUUAGGGAUAUUCCCAUUAAGGUAUUAUCUCCUUAUUAAUAUAUUGGAAAUAUCAUUUCCUUUGCGCAUCACAUAACUUAGCCAAUAGGAAGCUGCCAUGUAUAGGACAAAACCUUUAGCAUGGCAUGCCACUACCUCUUAUAAAUACCCUCAUCACCUCCAAAUUUCGGUAAGUUUUUUGCUAAGCAUAUAAGCCUUAAACACUUACUCUUUCUAGAAAAAAAAAACUAACUUAGGCAUCAAUGAUUUAUUGGCCAACUCCCUCUCGUGGGCAUGUGAGGCUUUGGUAUUUGAUUAAAAGUAUUGAUUGCUUUGUAGGUACGAAUUUAUCAAGAUUGAAAACGGUGGAUUGUUGCUACCAUAAUAUAUUGAAAAAGUACCAAGACGAUUGUAUAUUAGCGGGUGUAGUCAAUCUCGGAUUUGAGAGGAUUUUAAAAGACUUUAAAAUCCUAGUAUAGUCAAUUAAAAGAUUUUAAAGGAUUUUAGAAUCCAUGCAAAUCUAGGUGUAGUCCAUUGAGAUUUUAUUAGAGAUUUUAAAUUCCAUCCAAAUCUAAGUGUAUUAAAAAAAAUUAAUAUUUUAGAGGAUUUCCAUAAGUUGUGGAUUUUGUGAAAUUUGAGAGCAGGAAGUAUAUAUAACCAAGAACUCAAAUCUUUUUCCAUCUAGGCAGCCCUCAAAUCUUUUUCCAUCUGGGCAGUCCUUAAAUCUCUACCAAACCCAACCACAAACAGGUACCACCAUAUACUUUGGUAGAAUCUCUUUUUGUAAGCAUUCCACAAUAUUGUAUUUUCACAGUCUGAGCUGGGUUUUUUUUAUGAGUUCUCGAGUCAAAGGGGAAUCACGUUGAUGCUUGUAAUCCCCAUAUUUAAAAAAAAUGGUUAUAUAUAUAUGUGUGUGUGUGUGUGUGUGUGUGUGUGGGUAAUUAUUUUUAUGUAAUGAUUUUAUUAGAUUUCUUUUAUGCAAGAACCUACUUUCAAUAUGUAAAAUAGUUUCGAUGUAAAAUCCCUUUUGCUACGAAUUAUUUCAAAAACUAGCUAGUAGUAUUUCAAAUUCAUAUGUAAUUAGAGAUAUUUUUAGUUUGAAUUGGAGAAGGAGAUUAUGAUGAGUUAGGCUUUACUUUUCUCACAAAGGCUAAGUGGUGUUUUGGCAACCAUUAGAGAAUAAAGAGGAGGGGUUAGUCACUACUCUAGAUAGGUUGAGGUGGAAAGUUUGUAAUCAUUAGGAGUUAAUGAUUGGUGAUUAUUCAUCACUCCAAAAUGUGGAGGUGGGAAGCCUUUGGCUUAUACGUAUGUCUAAGUGCAUGAGUUGGCAAUAUUUUGUGGUUUUAGAGUGAUGAUUCACAAGGCUAAGAGGAAUCUUAAUCAUUUGGCUACAAUAUUCUCUAUUCAAUUUUGUUCCAAAUCUUCCAAUGAGGUGAGAAUGGGUGGGAUUCAUAUUCCUUAGAGUUUGGACGUGGCCUUUGAUACAAGGAACAUCUUGCAUGAUAUUCAUUUGUUAAUAAUUAACUAGACACUUAUUGCUUUGCCACUUGAACACUUAUCAUUCUUAAUCAUUAGGACAACACUUGUUGCCUUGGUAUUGGAACACAUUUUAUGUCUAAUGAUUGGCACCACACUUGGUUUCUUUCUAUUGGCACACUUGGGAGAUAUUUUGGAGAUGAAGAUGUCAUGCAAUCUUUAUAAAGGAAGGAGCAAGAACCAACGGAAGACAUGGAGAAAAGAGAGAGGAAAAAGAAGAAAAAAGAAGAAGAAGGAACCACUCCAACAAGAAAGCAAUUCUCCCUUUCAUAUUACCUUCUUAUAUUUCUUUAAAAUGUUCUUAGGGCUUUAAGUCAUCUGUCAUUGUAUUUGUAAGUCCCUCGUAUAUAUAGUGAAAUAAUGAAAGCAAACCCGAGUGGAUGUAGUCGAUUUGGCGAACCACUUAAAUCUUGUGUUGUUUAUGCAUUUACAUUGGGAGAUCAUUGUCAUGAGAAGCACUUCCACCAAACUAUUGAAAAUCUCUAUUUAUUUCCCUUGAGAAUGAUGUACAAAAAGUGUGAGACAAAUCCCAUAAAAAAUACAUGAGACCUUACCCAACAAAUCUCCACCAAACUCACCAUCAUUUUCAUCUAUCAAAAGAAAGAUAUCCAAAAAAACUAAAAAUUCGUCCAGCCUAUUUAACAGCCCAAAUACCAUCAUCCAUAGAUUAUAUCAUAGUACUUUCUUCAUGAGAGUUGUUUGUCUGUCUCUCUACCAUGAUAUAUCCAAAUUUUAGGAAAAUCCAACAGUGUGAUCGUCCAAUAUGUUUAAAAUACCAACUCAGUCUCUAAUCCCACAGAAAAUUGGACAGCCAUGUUAUAGCACCAAAACCCCAAUUUUUAGAGCUCCGAUCAAAACACUUCCUUCACAAAAGUUGUUCCUUAUCGUCUCAUCUAUAACAUAUCCAAAAACCACGACAAUCCAAUCUAUGUUAUGACUUGUACCCCAGUUCGAACAGCUGAUGUUCGGUUGAGCUAGCCUUUUAUGCCAACCUCUUUGCAUGGCCAACAUCUCCAGUUUCUUUCUCUCCCUUUCAUGGAAGUUUUUUUAGCAAUCUGACUCCUAUUACAUAUGUAGAAUAUCAGCUAUAUUAAAGAAGAGGAAGCGGAAAUGGUGAAGGAAGAAAGAGAACAAGAGGGAGGAAAUGAAAUUUAAACAAUAAAAAAAAAGAGGAAAUGGUAACAUAUUGCUCAUCAUUUACAUUAAAGAUUAUUAUUUUAUUAAUAAAAUGAUUAUAUUACUCUUGUUACUAAUCAAAUUAAUUUAUGUUGAAACUUGCAGGCUUGUUAGAUAAAAUGUGAGUAUUGGUAUCUAUAUGAACAUGACAUAUACAUAAACAUUCAUGCAAAGCAAGAAAAAAAGUUGUGUUGAGUUGUGUAAAGUGUUUGCGUUGUGAGGAUAUUCAAGGGCUUGAAUAUAAAAUAAUGAACCUUGUAUAUGUCAGACGUAGGGUGCGGGGCUUAAGUAUACAAAUUGGUUGAUUAUAAAAUAAUGAAAUCUUGUAUAUGUCAAGUGUCAGGGGAAGGCCUUGAAUAUACAAUUGGGCGUCGGAGGAAGUAUCUGUUUAAUAAAGUGAAAACUGAGAGUUUAAUUACAAAAAUUAGGUUAAGGGAUGAACGGGAGUUAAUUCAUAUUCUAAGGUAUUCGGAGCCAAGUGGUAUAAGCAUGGUAUGGGACGUGCAGGCUUGGGUGCCUUAGGUAUGUGUUGACGAAAUUAGAAGGGAGUGAGUACAUUCAUGCAUCUCGUUGCAUACAUGUAUUUGUAUUUGCAAGAGCUACUCAUUUCAAUUAUUAUUUUGUUGGUACUUUUUGUUGUGAAUUAAUUUAUGUACUAUUUUAUUUCUGCUGCGUAUUCAAUAAAUUAUAUGUGGUAAACUCAAGUUUUAUCAUGUAAAAUUUUGUGUUGUGAUGUAUUGUGUUUUAGUUAUUAAUCAAUUUUAUUUUAAAUUUUUUCACCAUAUCUUGGUUGUAGAAUUUAUUUCUAUAGCUAAGAUAUGGUUCACGGCCUAACUCAUGAA